rnacentral:rRNA from 1 species
CCUACGGGGGGCUGCAGUGGGGAAUAUUGGACAAUGGGCGCAAGCCUGAUCCAGCAAUGCCGCGUGUGUGAAGAAGGCCUGCGGGUUGUAAAGCACUUUGAGUGGGGAAGAAGGCCUGGGGGUUAAUAGCUUCUGGGAUUGACGUUACCCACAGAACAAGCACCGGCUAACUCCGUGCCAGCAGCCGCGGUAAUACGGAGGGUGCGAGCGUUAGUCGGUUUUACUGGGCUGAUGGCGCGCCCAGGCGGUUAACCUGGGAACUGCAUUGGAUACUGUUUGACUGGAGUGUGGUAGAGGGGUGUGGAAUUUCCGGUGUAGCAGUGAAAUGCGUAGAGAUCGGAAGGAACACCAGUGGCGAAGGCGGCACCCUGGACCGACACUGACGCUGAGGUGCGAAAGCGUGGGGAGCAAACAGGAUUAGAUACCCGGGUAGUC